GGCCGCGGGGCGGCGAGGGUGCCCUCGGCCUGGGGGUUCCGGCACCGCUGGCCUGGGGGUCCCCGGCAGCGCCCUCCCGCCGUCUUGGAGUCCAGGACUGCGGCCGGGGGUUCGAGGGUGUGGCGGCACCGCCCCCCGGGUCCCGGGGAGCGGCCGGACCGAGCUCUUGACGCCGGGUCGGGCGGAGCGCGGCGCUGUAGGUGGGGGAGACCCUUGGCAGACCCUCCCUGCGGCCGCUUUGCGUCUCUCUCGCCGCCCUCCUCACCCCUGCCCGCCUUGCCUCUGACCGCGCGGUUCUGCGAUCCAGACCCCUUCCCCGCCACCCACCUCCAGCGUCACCCCAGAAACGCUUUCUCUGUCCUGCUGUCCAAGCUUCACCUGUGUCCCCCGUCAUUCUGCCUGUGGUUGCUCCUCAGUGCUUGCGGCUGCACGAAAUCAUCUUGUGUGUCGCCCCCGACCCCACGUGGCGAUCGUGUUGAUUAGCAGAGUGUGUGCGUGCUUCAGGAAUGUAGUCGGUCUUCGUCGAAUCAAGGCUCUGUUUCUCUCCUCCGUUGCCCCUAGCGGGGCCAGCGACUCCUCCCUGCACAACUCAGCCCUAGCUACACCUUGGGGUCCCCCUGUCCGCCGCUCUGCCUUUAAUGAGGGGUGGAAAAGGAAGAGGCCCUCGGGAGCAGCUGGAGUGUGGCACUCUGUGUCCAGACAGGCUCCAGGUGCCGCUCCUACUCCCGACGGCUGCGACCCUGGGCUGGCCCUUUGCCGAUGCUCCUCUGUGAGAAGGAUCAAGCCGUGGACCUGAAAGCAGGCUUCGUGAGAGGAAGGGUUGGCUCUUCUUGACCGCAAGGUGCCCAGUGCCCAUCCUGUGGAAGGCCCGGGGGCACAGAGGCAGUAGAGGUGGGGUCAGCCCAAGGAAAACGUGUGGGAGACAGGCGCCUGCGGCCAGCAGUGGAAGGAAGGCUUUAUGGACGCUUGCAAGCGAACCAUGGUGUGGGAUGGUCGGAGAGCAAAUCUGAGGGGUGAGGAGGGCCUGAUGGAGAAGUAAGGGACAUGUCAAGGGAAGGCGCCACCACAGAGAGGGACUUCACCGGCCCUGGCCUGUCACCGCAGCCGAAGCUCUGGAGAGAGACUGUCCAAGUGGUGGGAAAGCAGGUUAGGGUGGAGGAGGCCCCACGCAGGGUCUUCCGUGAGGUGUGGGCAGCUGCUGUUGCGGGGAAGGCAUCCGAGCUCUCCUUUGGGGAGAUGAGUAUACCGGGUGGCUGUGGGGCCCUCCGGAGGGAGAGGAGAUGGGGUGCCUGCCACGUGGACCCUCUGGCUUCCGGGCUCUAUGGACAUCAGGCCUCUCCAUCAGGUGCCCUGCCACGCCCCUUCAGGCCGUCCUCCCGCAGCACAGCUGGGGACCACCGGAGUCUCUGAGGUCCCGGAGCGAGGAGACCAGACAGGGUCCUCUGAGGUCCCGGAGCGAGGAGACCGGACUGUCUCUUCUUUUUUCUCAUUUGACCGUUCAGCACAUUGUGGGGACCCCUACUGCCUGUCAGUUACCGUUCUACGGGACACAGCAGAGAACUAAACAAGAAGCUUAGAUUCUGGCGCAGGCACGGAACUUCAGAAGGCUCAAAAUGUGCUGGCUGGAGGGGUGCUGAGUGUGACGGGAGCCGGGGGCACACGCAAGCCCACCCAGCCCACCCAGUACCAGGGAAGCAGCAGCAGCAGCUCAAAGGGUAGCAAGGACAAUUGUGGGGAACAUCCAGAGAAAAACGUUUAGAUCCGCAGACUCCGAGAAGCGCUGUGCGAAGAUGUGGCAGCUCAUGUGGUCUGGAAAUUGUUUGGGAGAACACUUGGAGACCCCUUACCCUAACGAGGUGCCUGUGAACGUUGCCGCCUGUCCGUGGGAGACGCUGAAGCAGCUUCAGAUGACCACACAGCUCCUGAGCCGGGGGCCACUGUGAUGUUCUGAGAGUCUUUAUUGUAUGCUUGCGUCUUGGAAUGGGGCGCCUCGAAUGAGCCUUCUCAGUGACCUGAGGACUUUGUGUGUGGGGUGACCUCCGACCUUCAGAUACCCCAGGUUUCUGGAAGAUGCCUUUCUCCGUCAUCCUGGAUCGGGGCUUUCCCAGCUUUGCCUACACCUGAGAGGCACGAGUAGCCAGAUGAAGUCUUUCUGGUCUUGCUGGUCAGAGCCAGGAGGGCCAGCGCCCAGUCCAGGAGCCUCUCGCAGGCCUUGGGCAGCCGAUCCGGGCGUGGCCUUUCCUUGGCCCUUUGGACGACGACGCUGCGUUUUCCUCUUGGUCUUGGCCUCCCUGCCCACCAUGAGAGUGGACAUGAGAGUGACCAUCUCCACGGAGGCAGCUGGGUCUUUUGCACUCCCCAUGGCAGGGAGCCAGCUGUCUUCAUGCCCUCACCCUAGUGAAGUGGCUGAAUUGCCAGGAUUUAUCACAGCUCUGUUCUGUGUCUGAUCACAGGACCCACACCUUCCUGGAGAGUCUGCCCAAACAGCAGGCGGGUGGGAGGAGCCAUUGAACAGACCUGGCAUCCUGGGAGGGACACGGAAUUCUUCCCUUAAGAGUCUUGUGCUAUCUUGAGCGGCACUCUGUCACUUCCAAGAUGUGUAGACGCAGUGCUGCGUGUAGGACGAGGACCGGAACUCACUAAUACGGAUCUUACUAAUAUGGAAUUCACUAAUACGGAGCAUUGGAUUUGAGCAGCUCUGAGAUGUGUCCUCCUGCAGGGCUGCUGUGCCUGGUGCCCUUUCUCUGGGUCCCUUACCCUCUGCCUCCCUUCCUGCUGGGUCCUCUUCAUUCCCAUUUCUGCUUCCUCAGGGCCAGGAGGGUGCUGGGCACUUGGUGGCCACCUCAAUGACAGUGUGCACAUUUACCUGAAGGGGCAAAGGGUUAUCUUUAUAUUUCAGGUAAUCUCUGUGUUUUGGGGAAAUGAAAAGAUGGUGUUGGGUUAGGGCUGAUCAAUGAUCAGCGUUUCCCUGGGCUACACAAGGAGUGAGUGUUGGGUUGGUGGCCACUUUAGAAACCACAGGAAGGUCUCUGUCGUGGAAAGUCUUAUUAAAGGAGUCAAGUUUUACGCCUGUAAUCCCAGCAGUUUGGGAGGCCGAGGCAGGUGGAUCACGAGGUCAGGAGUUUAAGACCAGCCUGGCCAAUAUGGUGAAACCCAGUCUCUACUAAAAAUACAAAAAUUAGCUGGGUGUGGUGGCGGGCACCUGUAAUCCCAGCUGCUCGGGAGGCUGAGGCAGGAGAAUCGCUUGAACCCGGGAGGCGGAGAUCGCGCCAGUGCCCUCCAGCCUGGGUGACAGAGCAAGACUCCAUCUCAAAAAGAAAGAAGUCAAGUUUCACUUUUAACUUGUGUUAGUGUGUGAUCCUGUCUUUGUGUGCUGUGGAACUUGGUGCUGGUGGGACACAGGCUGCUCGCCCCACCCCUUGAGCUUUGCGUUUAUUCCUGGGAUUCUGCAUGUGAAUUGGAGCCUGUGCUGUAUC